AGAACGAACGCUGGCGGCAUGCCUAACACAUGCAAGUCGAACGCUUCCGGGGCUUCGGUCGCGGAGGAGUGGCGCACGGGUGAGUAGCGCGUGGGAACCUGCCCUGUUGUGGGGGAUAACCGAGGGAAACUUCGGCUAAUACCGCAUACGCCCCGGGACUUGGUCUUCGGAUUAGGUCUGGGGGGAAAGAGUUGAUCGCAGCAGGAGGGGCCCGCGUCGGAUUAGCUGGUUGGUGGGGUAACGGCUCACCAAGGCGAUGAUCCGUAGCUGGUCUGAGAGGAUGAUCAGCCACACUGGGACUGAGACACGGCCCAGACUCCUACGGGAGGCAGCAGUGGGGAAUAUUGGACAAUGGGGGCAACCCUGAUCCAGCAAUGCCGCGUGAGUGAUGAAGGCCUUAGGGUUGUAAAGCUCUUUCGCCGCGACGAUGAUGACGGUAGCGGGAGAAGAAGCCCGGCUAACUUCGCGCCAGCAGCCGCGGU
rnacentral:rRNA from 1 species